UCGCAGCAGCCGCGGCGGCGAGAGGGAGGCCGAUGAACGUGAGAGCUGUAAGACCUGCUCACAAUGGACAACAGGCCGGCCAACGUUCACGACCGGAUGGCUCCGGACCUUGGGGAAAACAUUCAUUUGCGGCCGCGGCGGCUAGGAACCGCCCGCCCCACCCCGAGGACAGGAAGAAGAAGCGUGCGACCUAACACGCCGGUAUUCUCCUGCCUUUCUCUCUCCGCCUGCAAAAAGAAGAAGGUGGGAAUACAGCCCUUCGGUUCUGAGUUCAGUAAGGGCUCAUUAUGUUUGAGCCAGUGUCACCAAGCACUCACACACACAGGGGAAUUGAAAAUAAAACAUGCAUUUUCGCAGCCAAGCCACGGGCUGAGGGCGAUAUGCUCCCCGAGUUCAAAAAGUAUGAAAAUAAAAAUAAA